rnacentral:pre_miRNA from 1 species
AGGAGGAACAGCCCCAGUGGCGGGGCAGCUCUGGAGCCCUGGAUUCAGCCCCCGCAGUACCUCCGGAGCUCUCCGUCUGCAGGGCCUGGAGGCUCCGGGGCGGG